UUGAAAUCUGGCUUCGGCCCGAGUUGUAAUUUGCAGAGGAAGCUUUAGGCGCGGCACCAUCUGAGUCCCCUGGAACGGGGCGCCACAGAGGGUGAGAGCCCCGUAUAGAUGGACGCCUAGCCUGUGUAAAGCUCCUUCGACGAGUCGAGUAGUUUGGGAAUGCUGCUCAAAAUGGGAGGUAAAUUUCUUCUAAAGCUAAAUACCGGCCAGAGACCGAUAGCGCACAAGUAGAGUGAUCGAAAGAUGAAAAGCACUUUGAAAAGAGGGUUAAAUAGCACGUGAAAUUGUUGAAAGGGAAGCGCUUGUGACCAGACUUGCGCCGGGCGGAUCAUCCGGUGUUCUCACCGGUGCACUCCGCCCGGCUCAGGCCAGCAUCGGUUCUCGUGGGGGGAUAAAGGCACCGGGAACGUAGCUCCUCCGGGAGUGUUAUAGCCCGGGGCGUAAUGCCCUCGCGGGGACCGAGGACCGCGCAUCUGCAAGGAUGCUGGCGUAAUGGUCAUCAGCGACCCGUCUUGAAACACGGACCAAGGAGUCAAGGUUUUGCGCGAGUGUUUGGGUGUAAAACCCGCACGCGUAAUGAAAGUGAACG
rnacentral:rRNA from 1 species